rnacentral:lncRNA from 1 species
UGCGAAAAAGCACUUCAUUUAAAAUUAAAAUCCUUGAUUCUUUAAGGCUGUGCUUGACUAGAUAACUAAAUUUUGGAGAACAAUUUUUGUUGUUCUCGAAAACAGAGAAUAUUUCCGUAUAAACUAGAAUAAAUUGUAAAUUACGUUUGAAUGUUGUUUGUUUGUUUCUAGAGAAUAUUGUUGAUAGUGUUGAACGUUUAUGUUGGAAUAAGGUGUUAAAAAGAUAAAAAUUAAAUAAAAUGACAAAUUUGCCCUUGAAUAUAAUAAUCAAAUAUGAUUUAAUAAAUUAAGUAUUAAUUAAAUUAAUUUACAAAUUAAUUAUAUUUGUAUAUUAUUUUGAAAAUAUUAAUUUAGUAGUAUUCAAUUUAAAUAUUUUUUUUUUCGAAACUAAUUUAAAAUAUAAUUAUCUAAAAUGGAAUAGCACUUAUUAAAUUAAAUUAAUCAUUCAAUCAAUUUUCUUUAAUUUACUAAAUUAAAUAUUAAUAAGUCAAAAUAAUGUGGCUCUUAUAAAUAAAAAAAAUUUCAAAAUAAAUUCCUAAACACAUUCUGAAUAGAGAUGUCAACGGGUCGGAUUCGGGGCGGAUUUUUAAAAACCCGAACCCGAACCCGACUCCAAACCCGAUACCCGAGCCCGAACCCGAACCCGACGGAUUUUAAAAAUCCAUAUCCAAACCCGAACCCGACCAAAAAUCCGAAACCCGAACCCGAACCCGAACCCGAAAAUUUGAACCCGAAAUAAUUAUUUCUUUUUUUCAAUAUUUCAAAAUAUAUUAUAUUAAACCUAACUUUUUAAAAUACAAAUUCAAAUAUAACAUCAAAUAUUUAUAUAUAUAUAUUAUAUAUAAUACAAAAUAAAUUCGGGUUCGGGUCGGGUUCGGGUUCGGGUCGGGUACAAUCAAAAUCCAUAUCCGAAUCCAUAUCCGUCGGGUUUCUAUUUUUGAUAUCCAUAUCCGAAUCCAUAUUCAUAUCCACCGGAUAUAUCUGUUUCAUUCGGGUUUGGAUUCGGAUAAAAUUUCGGGUAUCCAUACCCAUUGACAUCCCUAAUUCUGAAG